rnacentral:rRNA from 1 species
GAUGAACGCUGGCGGCGUGCCUAAUACAUGCAAGUCGAGCGAACGGACGAGAAGCUUGCUUCUCUGAUGUUAGCGGCGGACGGGUGAGUAACACGUGGAUCACCUACCUAUAAGACUGGGAUAACUUCGGGAAACCGUAGAUAAUCCCGGAUAAUCUUUUGAACCGCAUGGUUCAAAAGUGAAAGACGGUCUUGCUGUCACUUAUAGAUGGAUCCGCGCUGCAUUAGCUAGUUGGUAAGGUAACGGCUUACCAAGGCAACGAUGCAUAGCCGACCUGAGAGGAUGAUCGGCCACCCUGGAACUGGGACGCGGACCAGACUCCUGCGUGAGGCAGCAGUAGGGAAUCUUACGCAAUGGGCGAGAGCCUGACGGAGCAACGCCGCGUGAGUGGUGGAGGUCUUCGGAUCGUAAAACUCUGUUAUGAGGGAAGAACAUAUGUGGAAGUAACUGUACACAGCGUGACGGUUCCUAAUCAGAAAGCCACGGCUAACUACGUG